rnacentral:misc_RNA from 1 species
GCAAAAUUGUAUGCUGAGCAUAUUCCAAGGUUAUGUUCAUCAUUUGCAACAAGGAAUUACAAUCUGUUUGUUAACUACAAAUCAAGGGCAGGUAUUAAGAACAUACCGACCAGAACCAUCUCUCAACUUGAUUUCUACAGGGGAAACGACGACGAGGGGCGGCGAUAGAUAUGAAAAAAAUAAUAGGGGAAUGGGAACAAAUUAAACAGGGAAGAAAAUAACAAAUAAUAGGGCUUCAAUUUGUAAUUUUAUGCUAGCUACUACUUUCUACAGGCUUAUGUGUCACUGCAGGGUUCAGACUACUACCCCACCGCUUUACGACCCGAGAAAAUUGCAUUGUUUCCUUGCGUGUUCUGGAAUAAGCCUCACGAGCAUCUCCGGGGGUACUCCCUUCAAUUCGUGAGCCUUGAAGUUAAACAAUGGAGGAAGGAAACGUCCGUUUGGCAGACGGGUGUUCGGGUCACGUAGUUCAUCAAAGAAUGGAUGAAUCAAAGCCUCCAACGCUGUGCUUCGAAGGUUCGGAGAGUACUGAAGUAGUCUUGAAACGAGAUCGACGGCUUCUGGAGGC